rnacentral:rRNA from 1 species
AUUGAACGCUGGCGGCAUGCCUUACACAUGCAAGUCGAACGGUAACGCGGGGCAACCUGGCGACGAGUGGCGAACGGGUGAGUAGUGUAUCGGAACGUGCCCAGUAGUGGGGGAUAGCCCGGCGAAAGCCGGAUUAAUACCGCAUGAGACCUGAGGGUGAAAGCGGGGGAUCGCAAGACCUCGCGCUAUUGGAGCGGCCGAUAUCAGAUUAGGUAGUUGGUGGGGUAAAAGCCCACCAAGCCGACGAUCUGUAGCUGGUCUGAGAGGACGACCAGCAAGACUGGGACUGAGACACGGCGCAGACUCCUACGGUAGGCAGCAGUGGGGAAUUUUGGACAAUGGGCGCAAGCCUGAUCCAGCCCUGCCGCGCGCGGGAAGAAGGCCUUCGGGUUGUAAACCGCUUUUGUCAGGGAAGAAAUCUUCUGGGUUAAUACCUCGGGAGGAUGACGGUACCUGAAGAAUAAGCACCGGCUAACUACGUGCCAGCAGCCGCCGUAAUAC